rnacentral:tRNA from 1 species
GGAAAAGUGGCUGAGUGGUCUAAAGCACACGCUUGCAAAGCGUUCCGAUCUGAAAAUAUGUCGGGGGUUCGAAUCCCCCCUUUUCCG